UUCAAGGGAUAGGGAUAAUAACGGACGUGUCCCAAGGCCAACUCAGUGCGGACGGGAACCACACAUCAAGCAGAAGGACAAAAACUGACUUGAGCUCGUCAUUGUUCAGUACACAUAGAGACAGCAAAAGCUCCGCCUAUCGAUUCUUUUGGUUCAAGGAGUUUUUAACGAGAG
rfam:Glossina morsitans morsitans, isolate Yale, WGS project CCAG01000000 data, contig: ctg10006689